rnacentral:misc_RNA from 1 species
CUUAGAUGAGAUGCCCGUGUC